UGAGUCGGUCGGAUGGUUGCUGUAGGCUUGUUUGUUCAACCCUGCAGAGGAAAGUCCGGGCACCGCAGAAUAGGAUGCUCCCUAACGGGGUGAGNCCUGCUUUAGCNGGUUAUGGAAAGUGCAGCAGAAAAAAUACCGCCUUCGGGUAAGGGUGAAAAAGUGGUGUAAGAGACCACUGCUCCAUUAAGAAAUUGAUUGGAUCUGUAAACCCCAUCCGGUGCAAGAUCGAAUAGGCUCUGAGAUGUUUUUCGCAUUGAUAAAAGAGCGGGUAGAUUGCUUGAGAUUCGUAGCAAUAUGAAUUCUAGAUGAAUGACCAUCAUUGAUGUGANCUAGGUUACAUCUAACAAAACUCGGCUUAUAGACCGGCUCAGUAN
rnacentral:RNase_P_RNA from 1 species